GGGCUAUUAGCUCAGUUGGUAGAGCGCGCCCUUGAUAAUUGCGGGGCGAGGUCUCUGGUUCAAAUCCGGGAUGGCCCA
rnacentral:tRNA from 1 species